UCUCCACUAGGUCGUUGACCAGCGUGCA
rnacentral:sRNA from 1 species